UAGAAUUCCAGACUCUUGAAGUGACCUCAGAUGAAACCCAGCAAGGCAGAAGGAGCCAUGAAGCCCUGGCAAGUGAUUUUGUGUAACGUGGUGCUUCUUAAACUUUAGCAUACUUUCAAAGAAUCACAUGGAGGGGUUCCUAAAAUAUAAGUGAUUGGGCCCCAAGCCCAAAGUCUCUGCUUCGCUAUACCACCGGGCUUGUUCAAGUACCUACCUACUCAAGUGAAGAAUCUGCUUCCAGAAUUCUAUCAGACUCUUAUCUUUCUAGGUCAUGGUUUUGACUUGGUUUCCAUUUCAAUGAUGCUUCAGGAUUUACUGCAACCUGCGUCUCCUUCUGGAGAUAGGCGCCUCUUGAAAGGACUUCCUGCAUGAUGCUCACCAUGAAUGCGAAUUCCUCUUCUGUCCUCUUAUUGUGAUGAGGGGGUUGAAGGGCACAUUUAAUGAGAAAGAACCUGUGCUAUCACAGCAGAGAAAAGGGCCCAUCAAACACAUGACGCUAGAUCUGAUGGGACUAGAUCACAGCCCUCUACUGGAGCCUCUUUCUACUUGAACCCUUGGAACAGGUCUCUGUUCCUUUAAGAGCCUCCAGUGAGAAUUCAAUAAUUGUCUCUGUGGAAAGUACGAGUUCCCCCUAGUGCAGCAUGAUAAAUCUUGGAUAAUAAUAGCUCUUUCCAAAAUAAUCCUUAGACAGAAGCAAAAUCCAACUGAGAAGGUUGUUCAGAGUCAAAACGUGGGACCUGGAUCUGUCUUUUAUUUAGCUCUAUAAAUACAUUGAGUGUUUCUUUUGUCACUGCUGUUGA